rnacentral:rRNA from 1 species
UACGAAGGGGGCUAGCGUUGCUCGGAAUCACUGGGCGUAAAGGGUGCGUAGGCGGGUCUUUAAGUCAGGGGUGAAAUCCUGGAGCUCAACUCCAGGACUGCCUUUGAUACUGAGGAUCUUGAGUCCGGGAGAGGUGAGUGGAACUGCGAGUGUAGAGGUGAAAUUCGUAGAUAUUCGCAAGAACACCAGUGGCGAAGGCGGCUCACUGGCCCGGUACUGACGCUGAGGUGCGAAAGCGUGGGGAGCAAACAGG